AAAACCUAAACCAGAAAUAUGGAGCAGAGAGAUUAAUGGU
rnacentral:guide_RNA from 1 species